rnacentral:tRNA from 1 species
GAUGCCGUGGCCGAGUAGUUAAGGCGAUGGACUACUAAUCCACUGUACUCUGGGUUCUAAUCCCAUCCUCAUCA